rnacentral:rRNA from 1 species
AGAGUUGAUCAUGGCUCAGGAUGAACGCUGGCGGCGUGCCUAACACAUGCAAGUCGAACGAAGCAUACGGACUGGUAGAUUCGUCGAAGGACCGUAUGACUUAGUGGCGGACGGGUGAGUAAUGUAUGAGCAACCUGCCUUUCAGAGGGGGACAACAGUUGGAAACGACUGCUAAUACCGCGUAACGUAUCGUGAGGGCAUCCUCGUGAUACCAAAGGAGCAAUCCGCUGAAAGAUGGGCUCAUAUCUGAUUAGCUUGUUGGCGGGGUAACGGCCCACCAAGGCGACGAUCAGUAGCCGGGCUGAGAGGUUGGACGGCCACAUUGGGACUGAGAUACGGCCCAGACUCCUACGGGAGGCAGCAGUGGGGAAUAUUGGGCAAUGGGCGAAAGCCUCGACCCAGCAACGCCGCGUGAAGGAAGAAGGUCUUCGGAUUGUAAACUUCUUUUAUGAGGGACGAAGGACGUGACGGUACCUCAUGAAUAAGCCACGGCUAACUACGUGCCAGCCGCCGC